rnacentral:rRNA from 2 species
GCUGGCGGCGUGCCUAAUACAUGCAAGUCGAACGAACUCUGGUAUUGAUUGGUGCUUGCAUCAUGAUUUACAUUUGAGUGAGUGGCGAACUGGUGAGUAACACGUGGGAAACCUGCCCAGAAGCGGGGGAUAACACCUGGAAACAGAUGCUAAUACCGCAUAACAACUUGGACCGCAUGGUCCGAGUUUGAAAGAUGGCUUCGGCUAUCACUUUUGGAUGGUCCCGCGGCGUAUUAGCUAGAUGGUGGGGUAACGGCUCACCAUGGCAAUGAUACGUAGCCGACCUGAGAGGGUAAUCGGCCACAUUGGGACUGAGACACGGCCCAAACUCCUACGGGAGGCAGCAGUAGGGAAUCUUCCACAAUGGACGAAAGUCUGAUGGAGCAACGCCGCGUGAGUGAAGAAGGGUUUCGGCUCGUAAAACUCUGUUGUUAAAGAAGAACAUAUCUGAGAGUAACUGUUCAGGUAUUGACGGUAUUUAACCAGAAAGCCACGGCUAACUACGUGCCAGCAGCCGCGGUAAUACGUAGGUGGCAAGCGUUGUCCGGAUUUAUUGGGCGUAAAGCGAGCGCAGGCGGUUUUUUAAGUCUGAUGUGAAAGCCUUCGGCUCAACCGAAGAAGUGCAUCGGAAACUGGGAAACUUGAGUGCAGAAGAGGACAGUGGAACUCCAUGUGUAGCGGUGAAAUGCGUAGAUAUAUGGAAGAACACCAGUGGCGAAGGCGGCUGUCUGGUCUGUAACUGACGCUGAGGCUCGAAAGUAUGGGUAGCAAACAGGAUUAGAUACCCUGGUAGUCCAUACCGUAAACGAUGAAUGCUAAGUGUUGGAGGGUUUCCGCCCUUCAGUGCUGCAGCUAACGCAUUAAGCAUUCCGCCUGGGGAGUACGGCCGCAAGGCUGAAACUCAAAGGAAUUGACGGGGGCCCGCACAAGCGGUGGAGCAUGUGGUUUAAUUCGAAGCUACGCGAAGAACCUUACCAGGUCUUGACAUACUAUGCAAAUCUAAGAGAUUAGACGUUCCCUUCGGGGACAUGGAUACAGGUGGUGCAUGGUUGUCGUCAGCUCGUGUCGUGAGAUGUUGGGUAAGUCCCGCAACGAGCGCAACCCUUAUUAUCAGUUGCCAGCAUUAAGUUGGGCACUCUGGUGAGACUGCCGGUGACAAACCGGAGGAAGGUGGGGAUGACGUCAAAUCAUCAUGCCCCUUAUGACCUGGGCUACACACGUGCUACAAUGGAUGGUACAACGAGUUGCGAACUCGCGAGAGUAAGCUAAUCUCUUAAAGCCAUUCUCAGUUCGGAUUGUAGGCUGCAACUCGCCUACAUGAAGUCGGAAUCGCUAGUAAUCGCGGAUCAGCAUGCCGCGGUGAAUACGUUCCCGGGCCUUGUACACACCGCCCGUCACACCAUGAGAGUUUGUAACACCCAAAGUCGGUGGGGUAACCUUUUAGGAACCAGCCGCCUAAGGUGGACAGAUGAU